rnacentral:RNase_P_RNA from 1 species
UCGGAGGGCGAUCACGGUCACUUCGGCGAUCGAGGAAAGUCCGGACUCCACAGGGCAACGGUGCUGGGUAACGCCCAGACGGGGCGACCCGAUGGAAAGCGCAACAGAGAGCAGACCGCCGAUGGGCAGUUCGAAUCAUCGGACGGCCACAGGCAAGGGUGAAACGGUGGUGUAAGAGACCACCAGCGCUUCGGGAAACUGGAGCGGCUUGGCAAGCCCCACCGGGAGCAAGGCCAAACAGGGAUAGAGCGGCCCGCUUCGUAUCCCGGGUAGGCCGCUUGAGCCCACCAGUAAUGGUGGGCCCAGAUAGAUGAUCGCCACCCGACUAAGCGUCGGGGACAGAAUCCGGCUUAUCACCGAACUCG